rnacentral:tRNA from 1 species
GAGGGGAUAGCUCGGUGGUAGAGUGCCUGCCUAGCACGCACCAGGUCCUGAGUUCAUUCCCCAGUGCCUUUA